AAGGCCCCAGUGCAGCAGCAACAGCACAUGAUGGAGACGAUGAUGAGGAGGAGACCAUCUCUGGAUUCCAGAAGGCAUGAGGUAUCAUGUUAAGACUGUGAAAGUACUAUUUACUCUACAAUGGUGAGGAGUCCUCAUCAAAAUCAAAAAAUCUAAUUUCUUUUACAGGACCCAGAUGCUAUACAGUGGGAAAACCAGCCUGGCAACAUAAGCUCACAAGCUAUCAGAAAGUUGUAUGGCAACCACCUCCGGCGCCAAAUAGAACUGGCAGACAGACAUUCAGUACAAGAAGAAAAAGAUGGAAAAUCUUGCACUGGAGUCCGAAAUAAAAAAGAGGACAAUUAGGAAACUGGACCUUGAAAUAAAAAAACUUGAGAGGGAGCUCCAAGAAGAUGACACAGCUCAAAAUAAAAAUUAGGUAUAUUCUCGUAAAGUCAAGUGAGCCAUGACAUAUGAGCUCUUAUUGUGAGCACACAGGACGGUGGCA